GUGGGGGAGAGCUGGGAUCGUGUGUGGGCACAGAGCCCAGACAGGCGCGGUGGGGGCAGGGGUGACCAGGGCAGGCUUCCUGGAGGAGGGGAGCGUAGACAUGCGCUGGACAGAGGGGAGGCGCAAGGAUCAGAAUUGCUGCGGGCUAAGGGGAGAAAAACGUGGGUCUCUGGAGACCAGGGGCCUAUCUGCCAGAUUCAUGAACAACCUGACCCAAUGCAGGCAAAUGCAGAGGAUGUCCCAUAACUGUCCCACUUCCUAGGAACCCUUCUUUGUGGCCAGCCAGGGCUCAGUGCAGAGAGACAGAGAAGACCCAGGUGUCCCCUGGCCCAAUGCUUCCGGGAGGCAUCUCGGCCUUCCCACCUCUGAGAACAUUCAGGCCUUUGAGAUGUGGCCCCUGCCUGCCCCAGUCCCCCCGGCCCGACAAUGGGGGCUUCAGAGGAGACUGGAUGGCAGGACACAGCCACUUCUGUGAAGCAGAGUCGACCGCCAAGCUGGAGGUCUUCGUGGAUUUAUCAGGGAGAAGCAUGGCUGAGUAAAGGAAUUCUGGCACCAUGUGACAACCAUCUUCCUCAUCAAGAUUGGUGUCCUGGGAUGUGGCUAUCCCUGACCUUCCAGCAGAAUGAAGAGAAAAGGCUGAACCAGGCAGUUCAGCUUCCCCCAGUAGCACUCCUCUCAGGCCAUGGAGAAUAAUAAUAGCUAACAUUAACUGAGCUUUUGCUAGGGGCCAGACCUUUAUGUGCAUUAUCUCAUUUAAUCCUUGUGCUAAGAGGUAAGUACCAUUACUAUUGCCAAUACAGGAAACAGAAGCUUAGUGUGGUUAAGUGACUUGCUCAAUGGCUGGAAGAGGUGAAGUAACCCACCUCAAGGUUGUUCAGGUAGUUAGCAGUACAGCCAGGAUUUGAACCCAAGCAGUCUAAACCCCGAGAUUCAUUUCAUCAAAAACAGCAACCAGAGAAUAGAAUCCUGAUCCCUGCAACAGGUCAGCUGAGCCAGGACCAAUUCAUUGCUUGAUUCCUACAAAGGAUUCUUGCUGAUGAAGGUAACAAGGAAGAUAGAAACAGGAGAUUGGUAACAGUGAAGAAGAACGUGUUGAUGAAUAGGUGACUAGGAAAUUCCCACCUAGGAGUCAUUGAGUUGUUCAUUCAUUAAUCCAUCAUCCAUCUCAGGAGCUCUGCUGAGUUGCCACAGAGUGUAAAGAACAUGAGCUCUGGAGCCUGCCAGACUGAAUUCAAAUCCCAGUUCUGCCAUGAUUUCCUGUGUGACCUUGGGCACGUUGCUUCACUUCUCUGAGCCUCAGACUUCUCAUCAAUAAAAUGAAGAUAACAAAUUAUCUAUCUUGU
rnacentral:lncRNA from 1 species